AUGUCUAUCUCUCCCGAAGAAGUAAAAGAAGUUGCUGUAGAUGAACUUGAAGAACCAGAAAUUCAUUUGCCUAUUGUCACACAAGAGCGUGAUGUAGCAGGUUUUUCUAAUCCUCUUGAUGACAUGAGUCCUUAUGAUUUAUUUGCUUCUACCUUGCAUUACAUGAUGCCAUCACUUAAUAUUGAUUUGAAAACUCAUUUGCUUGGAUAUGAUGAUACAUACACUGUUGGUGGCAUUGCUCUCAUUCCUAAUGAUCACAAUUACUUUCCUCGUGCUAGUCCUAUGCUUAAUGAAACAUAUCAUUCCCAUGCUAGUCUUGAGCUUAAUGAUAAAUAUCAUCCUCAUGUUAGUGUUGACCUUGCUGAUUUCUACCAUCCUAAACAUGUGCUUUAUAGCUAUGCUUAUGUAAUUGGAUAUUCGAUUGAUGACUUGGAGGGUAUUAUCCCUACCACUUGCAUUGUCUCUUUCGUUGAGUGCUCUUUCAGGUUCUUGCUUGUGCACGAAUCACUACAUGCUGACCAGGUUCGAGGUGACAUUCCUUGGGACCCCGGUGGAUCCUGA
rnacentral:rRNA from 1 species